rnacentral:rRNA from 1 species
AGAGUUUGAUCAUGGCUCAGGAUGAACGCUGGCGGCGUGCCUAACACAUGCAAGUCGAACGGACUUACAUUGAAGCCUAGCGAUAUGUAAGUUAGUGGCGGACGGGUGAGUAACGCGUGGGUAACCUGCCUUGUACUGGGGGACAACAGUUGGAAACGACUGCUAAUACCGCAUAAGCGCACAGCUUCGCAUGAAGCAGUGUGAAAAACUCCGGUGGUACAAGAUGGACCCGCGUCUGAUUAGCUGGUUGGUGAGGUAACGGCCCACCAAGGCGACGAUCAGUAGCCGGCCUGAGAGGGUGAACGGCCACAUUGGGACUGAGACACGGCCCAAACUCCUACGGGAGGCAGCAGUGGGGAAUAUUGCACAAUGGGGGAAACCCUGAUGCAGCAACGCCGCGUGAGUGAAGAAGUAUUUCGGUAUGUAAAGCUCUAUCAGCAGGAAAGAAAAUGACGGUACCUGACUAAGAAGCCCCGGCUAACUACGUGCCAGCAGCCGCGGUAAUACGUAGGGGGCAAGCGUUAUCCGGAUUUACUGGGUGUAAAGGGAGCGUAGACGGUUUUGCAAGUCUGAAGUGAAAGCCCGGGGCUUAACCCCGGGACUGCUUUGGAAACUGUAGGACUAGAGUGCAGGAGAGGUAAGUGGAAUUCCUAGUGUAGCGGUGAAAUGCGUAGAUAUUAGGAGGAACACCAGUGGCGAAGGCGGCUUACUGGACUGUAACUGACGUUGAGGCUCGAAAGCGUGGGGAGCAAACAGGAUUAGAUACCCUGGUAGUCCACGCCGUAAACGAUGAUUAUUAGGUGUUGGUGGGUAUGACCCAUCGGUGCCGCAGCACACGCAAUAAGUAAUCCACCUGGGGAGU